rnacentral:lncRNA from 1 species
GAACUUUUGAAUUGGUAAACAUUAUUUAUUAAGUAAUAGAAAAUUAUUUAAUGAAAUGUGUCAAUGUUUUAUAGCAGAAAUUCCAUCGUCUGCCAUGAAAUUGGAAAAUUUAAAAUGGCAACUGAGAACAGAAAUAGUAUAUCCUCUGGUUUAACUAGCAUAUUAUGUAAAUAUUUUCCAUUCCCAGAUAGGGAGUAUAAAUUUUUACUGUUUAUUUUUAUUAAAUUAAGUAUUAUAGUAGUUAUAAUUUUGACCAUAGUCUGUCCUAUGAUUCCUGGUGCCCUAGACAAACUGAACAUUUAUAAACACUGUUAGAGGGUGGAUGUAGUAGGUUUAUGAUGAUAAAUAAUGUAGAGAAAGGAAUCAUCAAAACGUAUAAUCCAAACAUGCACUAACUCCCCCUGGUGGAUGGAUUUGGAAAUGAACUGUAAAUUAAUAAUUGAUUUGAACUAUGGUGCC